rnacentral:rRNA from 1 species
UAAGGAAUAUUGCUCAAUGGGAGAAAUCCUGAAGCAGCAACGCCGCGUGGAGGAUGAAGGGUCUAUGACUUGUAAACUCCUGUAAAGAAGGAAAAAAUUCCCAUUUGAUGGGAGAUGAUGGUACUUCUGGAGUAAGCCCCGGCUAACUACGUGCCAGCAGCCGCGGUAAUACGUAGGGGGCAAGCGUUGUCCGGAUUUACUGGGUGUAAAGGGUGCUCAGGCGGAUUUGUAAGUCAGAGGUGAAAUCUUACAGCUUAACUGUGAAACUGCCUUUGAUACUGCAAGCCUAGAGUAUGGAAGAGAGUGAUUGAAUAUCUGGUGUAGCAGUGAAAUGCGUAGAUAUCAGAUAGAACACCAAUGGCGAAGGCAGUCACUUGGUCCAUUACUGACGCUAAAGCACGAAAGCGUGGGUAACAAACA